GAUGAACGCUGGCGGCGUGCCUAAUACAUGCAAGUCGAGCGAACGGACGAGAAGCUUGCUUCUCUGAUGUUAGCGGCGGACGGGUGAGUAACACGUGGAUAACCUACCUAUAAGACUGGGAUAACUUCGGGAAACCGGAGCUAAUACCGGAUAAUAUUUUGAACCGCAUGGUUCAAAAGUGAAAGACGGUCUUGCUGUCACUUAUAGAUGGAUCCGCGCUGCAUUAGCUAGUGUAGUAACGCUUACAAGGCAACGAUGCAUAGCCGACCUGAGAGGGUGAUCGGCCACACUGGAACUGAGACACGGUCCAGACUCCUACGGGAGGCAGCAGUAGGGAAUCUUCCGCAAUGGGCGAAAGCCUGACGGAGCAACGCCGCGUGAGUGAUGAAGGUCUUCGGAUCGUAAAACUCUGUUAUUAGGGAAGAACAUAUGUGUAAGUAACUGUGCACAUCUUGACGGUACCUAAUCAG
rnacentral:rRNA from 1 species